UACCAGGUGGAGGAUUUUUUCAACAUACAAGUCAUACAAGUAAUAUUGGUAUCAAAAAUAUUAGAAACUAUCUUAAGUUAAACUUGAUAUUUCCAUAACCUUACUUAUAAAAUCUCUCAGACAAUUGGAACUUGUAAACAACCCUUCUGAGCUAUCCCGCUCAUCUGGGGUGGAAUACUAACUGAAUCAGAAGUGAGCAACAGAGCUGAUAAUUAGACAAGUGAACAGUUACGGACUGCAAAUAAAUAGCAACAUUUGUAAGGAAGCCU
rnacentral:lncRNA from 1 species